rnacentral:rRNA from 1 species
GAGAGUUUGAUUCUGGCUCAGGAUGAACGCUGGCGGCGUGCUUAACACAUGCAAGUCGAACGAACCGAUAGGAGCCUAGCUCCUUGAAGGUUAGUGGCGGAUGGGUGAGUAACGCGUGGGUAAUCUGCCUUAUACAAAGGGAUAACUCAGAGAAAUCUGUGCUAAAACCUUAUAAGCUUACAUGGUCACAUGACCAAGUAAGAAAAACUUUAGUGGUAUAAGAUGAGCCCGCGUCCGAUUAGCUAGUUGGUGAGAUAAUAGCUCACCAAGGCAACGAUCGGUAACCGGCCUGAGAGGGUGACCGGUCACACUGGGACUGAGACACGGCCCAGACUCCUACGGGAGGCAGCAGUGGGGAAUAUUGCACAAUGGAGGGAACUCUGAUGCAGCAACGCCGCGUGAAGGAUGAAGGUUUUCGGAUCGUAAACUUCUAUCAGUAGGGAAGAAAACAAUGACAGUACCUAACUAAGAAGCCCGGCU